GGGGGAAAAGUUUUAUCAAGGUUGCAUGAGUCAUGUGACUUGCUCAGUUUUAUUUUUUUUAUAUAUCAACCUCCGGGCUCCGAUGCUCGGUACUUAACGCAGUGCAUAGGAGGUUGUAAGCUUUUAAUGUUGCAAUCGUAACUACCAAGUUCCACAUAUUUUAAAACAUACGAGAUGAUCAUCAAUGACUGAUCUACUGACAAGUACCACUAACUGCUUGUCAUACUUGAUAUUUACUGAUUGAAAGGAGGCGUACAACUGAAAGGCACACCUGUAAAACUUACAGUAUGGAUAGGAUGUCAGGGUUUGUCCCAACGAAUUACGGUUCUACCGCAGAAAGGGUCCCAGAGGUCGGAUUUUCCGGUGGCGGCAGUAUAUACGACCAAAAGGAAGCAGACGCCCUCGCGGAAAAUGUGAGCAAAAUCAUUUACAGCAUUAACACCGAGAGGAUGAGCUUGGAGAAGUCUGUCAAAUUCAUCGGAACGCCCAAAGAUUCACAGGAACUCAGGGAAAAGAUGCAAAACACUUUAGUGAGUAUUAAUGAUAAAGUAAAACGAGUUACUUUGGAUAUAAAACUGUUGAAAGAAAAAAUGAGAAAGGGAGGAUGGCAACAAAAACUCCAGAUUCAAAAAAUCACAGAAACGUUUCAAGAAUCGAUACAAAUGUGCAAACCAGUAGAAGAGCUUGUAGUUGCGAAAAUGCGAUGUCACAUGUUACUCUCAGAGUUGGCAAUAUUAGAGCAAAAUCAAGAAAGGUUUUCUGAUUCUGAUCAGCUAACCACAUCGGAAAUGAGACAGGUGACAGAAGCCAUAGAGUUUGAAACAGGAUUGCUCAAAGAAAGAGAAGAGAAAAUGGCAAAGAUAGCCAACACAAUAAUCGAUAUUAAUCAGAUUAUGAAGGAAUUGGGAGCGCAGGUUCAUAAUCAAGGAGAGGAUAUUGAUAGGAUAGAAAAUGCUAUUGAAGAUGUACAUGUUCAUGUGACAGCAGCCAAUGAAGAAUUAGAAAAAGCCUCAACUUAUCAGAUAUUGUUUUUUCCAGAUCAAUCUUACAGGGAUGACCAAUUCAGUCGAAGAUACAAAAGAGGAUGUUGCAUUCGUUAAGAAUGACGAUUCUGACAUUCCAAAUUGUAAUUUUAACAAUAACAAUGACAUUAAAGACAAUAGGAGGUUAGAAACUGGAAGGAGAAAAACAGUAUGCAUUCUUCUUGCAUUAUCUCUCAUAAUUGGUGUCAUCCUUACAACCAUCAUAGUUGUCACCCUUCGUGAUA
rnacentral:misc_RNA from 1 species